rnacentral:rRNA from 1 species
UACAGAGGGUGCGAGCGUUAAUCGGAAUUACUGGGCGUAAAGGGUGCGUAGGUGGUUAAUUAAGUCAGAUGUGAAAUCCCCAGGCUUAACCUGGGAAUUGCAUUUGAAACUGAAUGACUAGAGUACGGUAGAGGGAAGUGGAAUUUCCGGUGUAGCGGUGAAAUGCGUAGAUAUCGGAAGGAACAUCAGUGGCGAAGGCGACUUCCUGGACCGUUACUGACACUGAGGCACGAAAGCGUGGGGAGCGAACAGG